rnacentral:rRNA from 1 species
AUUGAACGCUGGCGGCAUGCCUUACACAUGCAAGUCGAACGGCAGCACGGGUGCUUGCACCUGGUGGCGAGUGGCGAACGGGUGAGUAAUAUAUCGGAACGUACCUUAUUGUGGGGGAUAACGCAGCGAAAGCUGUGCUAAUACCGCAUAAUCCCUAAGGGGGAAAGCGGGGGACCGUAAGGCCUCGCGCAAUUAGAGCGGCCGAUACCUGAUUAGCUAGUUGGUGAGGUAAAGGCUCACCAAGGCAACG